GCCAGGUAUAGGGUUGUACGUGUCUGUAUUCUCAGCUACUCAGGAGGCUGAGGCAGAAGGAUUGCUUGAGCCCAGGAGUUCUGGGCUGUAGUACGCUAUGCCAAUCAGGUGUCUGCACUAAGUUUAGCAUCAAUAUGGUGACCUCCUUGGAGCAGGGGACCACCAGGUUGCCUAAAGAGCAGUGAACUGGCCCAGGUUGGAAAUGGAGCAGGUCAAAACUCCUGUGCUGAACAAUAGUGGGAUUGCUCCUAUGAAUAGCCACUGCACUCCAGCCUGGCAACAUAGCAAGAUCCCAUCCCUA
rfam:Callithrix jacchus chromosome 17, whole genome shotgun sequence